rnacentral:rRNA from 1 species
CCGCCGCGGGAAUACAGAGGGUGCGAGCGUUAAUUGGAUUUACUGGGCGUAAAGCGUGCGUAGGCGGCUAAUUGAGUCGGAUGUGAAAUCCCCGAGCUUAACUUGGGAAUUGCAUUCGAUACUGGGAAGCUAGAGUAUGGGAGAGGAUGGUAGAAUUCCAGGUGUAGCGGUGAAAUGCGUAGAGAUCUGGAGGAAUACCGAUGGCGAAGGCAGCCAUCUGGCCUAAUACUGACGCUGAGGUACGAAAGCAUGGGGAGCAAACAGGAUUAGAUACCCGUGUAGUCCCUGUCUCUUAUACACC